CAUGGCUUUCCUGAAGGAUGGAAACCACACUGAAGUGACAGAGUUCAUUUUAUUGGGCCUGACAGACGACCCAGUCCUUAGAGUUGUCCUCUUCACCAUUAUCCUGUGCAUCUACCUGGUGACCGUGUCUGGGAACCUCAGCACCAUCCUUCUCAUCAGAGUCUCUUCCCAGCUCCAUCACCCUAUGUACUUUUUUCUCAGCCACUUGGCCUCUGCUGACAUAGGCUACUCAUCUUCUGUCACACCCAAUAUGCUUGUCGGCUUCCUGGUAAGGAGAAGUACCAUUACCUACUAUGGAUGUGCCAUUCAACUUGGCUCAGGUGCUUUCUUUGGAACAGUUGAGUGCUUUGUUCUGGCUGCGAUGGCUUAUGAUCGCUUUGUAGCAAUUUGUAGCCCACUGCUUUAUUCCAUGAAGAUGUCCACACACGUCUGUGUCCAGUUGCUUAUAGUAGCAUACAUAAGUGGUUUUCUUAAUGCCUCCUCCUUUACCAUUUCCUUUUUUACUUUUUUCUUCUGUGGACCAAACAGAAUCAAUCACUUUUUCUGUGAUUUUACUCCUUUAGUUGAACUCUCCUGUUCUGAUGACAGUGUCUCCAUUGUUCUUGCCACUAUUUCUGUUGGCACUGUGAUUGUGAUCACAGUCCUUGUCAUAUCUGUCUCCUACACCUACAUCCUCAUCACCAUCCUGAAGAUGCGCUCCACUGAGGGCCGUCAGAAGGCCUUCUCCACCUGCACCUCCCACCUCACUGCAGUCACUCUGUUCUAAGGCACAGUCACAUUCAUCUAUGUGAUGCCUAAGUCCAACUACUCCACAGACCAGAACAAGGUAUUGUCUGUAUUCUACAUGGUGGUGAUCCCCAUGUUGAAUCCGCUCAUUUACAGCCUCAGGAAUAAUGAGAUCAAAGGUGCUCUAAAGAGACAAUUUGGUAGGAAAAUAUUUUCUUAG